CGUUGAAACACCGGUUCUCAUCCGAUCACCGAAGUUAAGCAACGUUCAACCUGGUUAGUACAUAGAUGAGUAGACACUUGGGAGUA